rnacentral:rRNA from 1 species
GCAGGUCGAACGAGUUCUCGAUUAUUGAAAGGUGCUUGCAUCUUGAUUUAAUUUUGAACGAGUGGCGGACGGGUGAGUAACACGUGGGUAACCUGCCCUUAAGUGGGGGAUAACAUUUGGAAACAGAUGCUAAUACCGCAUAAAUCCAAGAACCGCAUGGUUCUUGGCUGAAAGAUGGCGUAAGCUAUCGCUUUUGGAUGGACCCGCGGCGUAUUAGCUAGUUGGUGAGGUAACGGCUCACCAAGGCAAUGAUACGUAGCCGAACUGAGAGGUUGAUCGGCCACAUUGGGACUGAGACACGGCCCAAACUCCUACGGGAGGCAGCAGUAGGGAAUCUUCCACAAUGGACGCAAGUCUGAUGGAGCAACGCCGCGUGAGUGAAGAAGGCUUUCGGGUCGUAAAACUCUGUUGUUGGAGAAGAAUGGUCGGCAGAGUAACUGUUGUCGGCGUGACGGUAUCCAACCAGAAAGCCACGGCUAACUACGUGCCAGCAGCCGCGGUAAUACGUAGGUGGCAAGCGUUAUCCGGAUUUAUUGGGCGUAAAGCGAGCGCAGGCGGUUUUUUAAGUCUGAUGUGAAAGCCCUCGGCUUAACCGAGGAAGUGCAUCGGAAACUGGGAAACUUGAGUGCAGAAGAGGACAGUGGAACUCCAUGUGUAGCGGUGAAAUGCGUAGAUAUAUGGAAGAACACCAGUGGCGAAGGCGGCUGUCUGGUCUGUAACUGACGCUGAGGCUCGAAAGCAUGGGUAGCGAACAGGAUUAGAUACCCUGGUAGUCCAUGCCGUAAACGAUGAAUGCUAGGUGUUGGAGGGUUUCCGCCCUUCAGUGCCGCAGCUAACGCAUUAAGCAUUCCGCCUGGGGAGUACGACCGCAAGGUUGAAACUCAAAGGAAUUGACGGGGGCCCGCACAAGCGGUGGAGCAUGUGGUUUAAUUCGAAGCAACGCGAAGAACCUUACCAGGUCUUGACAUCUUUUGAUCACCUGAGAGAUCAGGUUUCCCCUUCGGGGGCAAAAUGACAGGUGGUGCAUGGUUGUCGUCAGCUCGUGUCGUGAGAUGUUGGGUUAAGUCCCGCAACGAGCGCAACCCUUAUGACUAGUUGCCAGCAUUUAGUUGGGCACUCUAGUAAGACUGCCGGUGACAAACCGGAGGAAGGUGGGGAUGACGUCAAAUCAUCAUGCCCCUUAUGACCUGGGCUACACACGUGCUACAAUGGAUGGUACAACGAGUUGCGAGACCGCGAGGUCAAGCUAAUCUCUUAAAGCCAUUCUCAGUUCGGACUGUAGGCUGCAACUCGCCUACACGAAGUCGGAAUCGCUAGUAAUCGCGGAUCAGCACGCCGCGGUGAAUACGUUCCCGGGCCUUGUACACACCGCCCGUCACACCAUGAGAGUUUGUAACACCCGAAGCCGGUGGCGUAACCACUUUUAGAGAGCGAACACAUGCU